GAUGAACGCUGGCGGCGUGCCUAAUACAUGCAAGUCGAGCGAACAGACGAGGAGCUUGCUCCUCUGACGUUAGCGGCGGACGGGUGAGUAACACGUGGAUAACCUACCUAUAAGACUGGGAUAACUUCGGGAAACCGGAGCUAAUACCGGAUAAUAUAUUGAACCGCAGGGUUCAAUAGUGAAAGACGGUUUUGCUGUCACUUAUAGAUGGAUCCGCGCCGCAUUAGCUAGUUGGUAAGGUAAGAGCUUACCAAGGCAACGAUGAGGAGCCGACCUGGGAGGGUGAUCGGCCACACUGGCACUGAGACACGGUCCAGGCUCCUACGGGAGGCAGCAGUAGGGAAUCUUCCGCAAUGGGCGAAAGCUUGACGGAGCAACGCCGCGUGAGUGAUGAAGGUCUUCGGAUCGUAAAACUCUGUUAUUAGGGAAGAACAAAUGUGUAAGUAACUAUGCGCGUCUUGACGGUACCUAAUCAGAAAGCCACGGCUAACUACGUG
rnacentral:rRNA from 1 species